UGCGUAGAUAUAUGGAAGAACACCGGUGGCGAAGGCGCCAACUUGGACUAUCACUGACGCUUAGGCUCGAAAGUGUGGGGAGCAAAUAGGAUUAGAUACCCUAGUAGUCCACACCGUAAACGAUCAUCAUUAAAUGUCGGCCUGAAUGGGUCGGUGUUGUAGCUAACGCAUUAAAUGAUGUGCCUGGGUAGUACAUUCGCAAGAAUGAAACUCAAACGGAAUUGACGGGGACCCGCACAAGUGGUGGAGCAUGUUGCUUAAUUUGACAAUACACGUAGAACCUUACCUAGGUUUGACAUCUAUUGCGAUGCUAUAGAAAUAUAGUUGAGGUUAACAAUAUGACAGGUGGUGCAUGGUUGUCGUCAGCUCGUGUCGUGAGAUGUUGGGUUAAGUCCCGCAACGAGCGCAACCCCUUUCGUUAGUUACUUUUCUAGCGAUACUGCUACCGCAAGGUAGAGGAAGGUGGGGAUGACGUCAAAUCAUCAUGCCCCUUAUAUCUAGGGCUGCAAACGUGCUACAAUGGCUAAUACAAACUGCUGCAAAAUCGUAAGAUGAAGCGAAACAGAAAAAGUUAGUCUCAGUUCGGAUAGAGGGCUGCAAUUCGUCCUCUUGAAGUUGGAAUCACUAGUAAUCGCGAAUCAGACAUGUCGCGGUGAAUACGUUCUCGGGU
rnacentral:rRNA from 1 species